AUCUCGAGACUAGCGGACGAGCUGAAGGAUAGAUCCACAGCUCCUGCCAUUGUCCCUGCUGCCAUAUACGGUGCAUCCGGCGCCAGCGCCACGGACGCCGAUCUAUUCACCGAUUUUAUACACGCCAUAGUAAUAAAACCGAAAAAACAAAACAAGGGAAAAAAAAUCAAAAUCUACCUCCCUAUCAAACCUAUGUAUAAAAGGAGGAAAUGCCAAUUCAAGUAUAAAAAUUGAGAGAGAAAGUGGAUCUGAGAUUGAGAAGUUUGA
rnacentral:misc_RNA from 1 species